CAGAACAUAUUGGUUCCAGUGUCGUCCAGAGAGGUAGAGCAACAUAACCCAAUAAUGUAAUAUACUGUGGCUGAGAACAGCUCAGCCCAAUAUGGCCUACAGAACAGGCAGAGCUGUUUGGGGUUGUUUGCAGAACUCCCCUGGCUGUGCUCAACUCUAGGUGCUGUUCUCUAAACAGAACUACUGAACUGACAACAGAGCUGGGAUAGAAUGGCUAGAAGAGUCAUGGAGGAGGAAUGAGUUCUGGUUCCAGACAGUCUAACCCUGCCUAUUUAUUGCGAGAUUCUGUGAUUGCCACUUUGUCCCCACAUCCACUGUCAUCCUCCAUUUCCCCCACCUCCUUCCCCCAUUUCAGUGACUCAGCUGAUGGCAGUUUCUUGUAAGUAUCUGCAUAAAAUCACUUCAAUGAACUGAUGAUGAAAUUCACACCUCAAGAUAAGGAAAUUUAAACAGCUAAACAGAAUUCCACAGUUGUGGUAAGGUUGGGUUAGUUAGCAUCAGAGGUUGGAUCUCAUUAAGAUUUUUGUGAGAUCCCAUAUGAAAAAAAUACUACAGUUUACUAUAGAAUAUUACAAUGUUGUAAUAUACUGUAGCAUACUAUAGUAAAUACUACAGUAAUGUCCACAAAAACACUACAGUCAGCAAAAACACUCCAGCAAAUACUACAGUAUAUUACAAUUCGCAAAAACACUACAUUAAUUACUUUUGUAUAUACUACAGUUAUUUUACUACAGUAUUUAUACUAUAGUUAACUGUAAAUACUACAGUAUACUACCGUAAAUAUUACAGUAUUCUGCAAAAAAACUACAGCGAAUACUUAAGCAAAUAUGGCUAAUAUACCACGGCUAAGGGCUGUUCUUAUGUACGACGCAUCGAAGAGUGCCUGGAUACAGCCCUUAGCUGUGGUAUAUUGGCCAUAUACCACAAACCCCUGAGGUACCUUAUUGCUAUUAUAAACUGGUAACCAACGUAAUUAGAACAGUACAAAGUACUGUUUUGUCAUACCAGUGUUAGACAGUCUGUUAUACCACGUCUUUCAGACAAUCAGCGUUCAGGGCUCGAAGCACCUGGUUUAUAAUAUAGUAUUUAUACAAUAGUAUACUAUAGUAUUUUUUCAUGUGGGCAUCAAUAACUAAUAAUUAACAUUUGUUUAUAUAACUGUCUGGCGUUCUAAAAGGUUUGGUUAGGUUGACAAAAUGAGAUGAUCAUGAAAUGAGUUGAGUAUUAAGAUCAUAAUUAGCAUGUUCUAAUGUUAAUCUGUGUGAGGUGUUGAGUAUUAAGAUCAUAAUUAGGAUGUUCUAAUGUUAAUCUGUGUGAGGUGUUGAGUAUUAAGAUCAUAAUUAGGAUGUUCUAAUGUUCAUCUGUGUGAGGUGUUGAGUAUUAAGAUCAAAAUUAGGAUGUUCUAAUGUUCAUCUGUGUGAGGUGUUGAGUAUUAAGAUCAUAAUUAGGAUGUUCUAAUGUUAAUCUGUGUGAGGUGUUGAGUAUUAAGAUCAUAAUUAGGAUGUUCUAAUGUUAAUCUGUGUGAGGUGUUGAGUAUUAAGAUCAUAAUUAGGAUGUUCUAAUGUUAAUCUGUGUGAGGUGUUGAGUAUUAAGAUCAUAAUUAGGAUGUUCUAAUGUUAAUCUGUGUGAGGUGUUGAGUAUUAAGAUCAUAAUUAGGAUGUUCUAAUGUUAAUCUGUGUGAGGUGUUGAGUAUUAAGAUCAUAAUUAGGAUGUUCUAAUGUUAAUCUGUGUGAGGUGUUGAGUAUUAAGAUCAUAAUUAGGAUGUUCUAAUGUUAAUCUGUGUGAGGUGUUGAGUAUUAAGAUCAUAAUUAGGAUGUUCUAAUGUUAAUCUGUGUGAGGUGUUGAGUAUUAAGAUCAUAAUUAGGAUGUUCUAAUGUUAAUCUGUGUGAGGUGUUGAGUAUUAAGAUCAUAAUUAGGAUGUUCUAAUGUUAAUCUGUGUGAGGUGUUGAGUAUUAAGAUCAUGAUUAGGAUGUUCUAAUGUUAAUCUGUGUGAGGUGUUGAGUAUUAAGAUCAUGAUUAGGAUGUUCUAAUGUUAAUCUGUGUGAGGUGUUGAGUAUUAAGAUCAUAAUUAGGAUGUUCUAAUGUUAAUCUGUGUGAGGUGUUGAGUAUUAAGAUCAUGAUUAGGAUGUUCUAAUGUUAAUCUGUGUGAGGUGUUGAGUAUUAAGAUCAUGAUUAGGAUGUUCUAAUGUUAAUCUGUGUGAGGUGUUGAGUAUUAAGAUCAUGAUUAGGAUGUUCUAAUGUUAAUCUGUGUGAGGUGUUGAGUAUUAAGAUCAUAAUUAGGAUGUUCUAAUGUUAAUCUGUGUGAGGUGUUGAGCUGCUUUUCUCUUGAUUUAUUCCUCCUUCUCUUUC